rnacentral:lncRNA from 1 species
GGGAGGCCAAGACAGGAGAAUCCCUCGAGCCUCGGAGUUUGAGAGCAGCCUGGGCAACAUGGUGAGACCCUGUCCCUAAAAAUAAGUUUAAAAAAAUUAGCUGGGCAUGGUAGCAUGCACCUAUAGCACCACCUACUUGGGAGGCUAAGGCAGGAGGAUUGCCUGACCCCAGGAGUUUGAGACUGCAGUGAGCCAUGAUCAUGCUGCCACACUCUAGCCAGAGUCAAAGAGUGAGACUCUGUCUCAAUAAAUAAAAGAAAAAUAGCCAGCAUGGUGGUGGAUGCCUAUUGUCUCAGCUACUUAGAGGCUGAGGCAGGAGGAUUGCUUGAGCCCAGGAGGUCAAGGCUGCAGUGAGCUUUGAUUGUACCACUGCACUCAAGUCUGGGUGACAGAGCAAAUCUCUGUCUCAAAAAAAUUAUUUAAAACACACUGGUUGUGAGCUCAAUGCAAAACAAAUACCUCAUAUAUUUAUAUAAUUUUUCUUUCUCAGAUGAACACUACCAAGAUAACGUUGGUGUUUUAACCAGGUAUCUAC